rnacentral:rRNA from 1 species
GAUGAACGCUGGCGGCGUGCUUAACACAUGCAAGUCGAACGAAGCACUUUUAUUUGAUUUCUUCGGAAUGAAGAUUUUAGUGACUGAGUGGCGGACGGGUGAGUAACGCGUGGGUAACCUGCCUCAUACAGGGGGAUAACAGUUAGAAAUGACUGCUAAUACCGCAUAAGACCACAGCACCGCAUGGUGCAGGGGUAAAAACUCCGGUGGUAUGAGAUGGACCCGCGUCUGAUUAGGUAGUUGGUGGGGUAACGGCCUACCAAGCCGACGAUCAGUAGCCGACCUGAGAGGGUGAUCGGCCACAUUGGGACUGAGACACGGCCCAAACUCCUACGGGAGGCAGCAGUGGGGAAUAUUGCACAAUGGGGGAAACCCUGAUGCAGCGACGCCGCGUGAGCGAUGAAGUAUUUCGGUAUGUAAAGCUCUAUCAGCAGGGAAGAAAAUGACGGUACCUGACUAAGAAGCACCGGCUAAAUACGUGCCAGCCGCCGCGGUAA